GACGGAGGAUGCAAGUGUUAUCCGGAAUCACUGGGCGUAAAGCGUCUGUAGGUCGUUUAAAAAGUCUACUAUUAAAAAAUUGAAGCUUAACUUCAAAGAUGCCGUAGAAACUUUUAAACUUGAGUAUGGUAGGGGUAGAGGGAAUUUCCAGUGGAGCGGUGAAAUGCGUAGAUAUCAGGAGGAACACCGGUGGCGAAGGCGGCCCUCUGGACGGUGACUGACGCUGAGACGCGAAAGCGUGGGGAGCAAACAGG
rnacentral:rRNA from 1 species